AUAGAACGCUGGCGGAAUGCUUUACACAUGCAAGUCGAACGGUAGAGGGGGCAACCCCUCGAGAGUGGCGAACGGGUGAGUAAUAUAUCGGAACGUGCCCAGUCGUGGGGGAUAACGUAGCGAAAGUUACGCUAAUACCGCAUACGAUCUAAGGAUGAAAGCGGGGGAUCGCAAGACCCCGCGCGAUUGGAGCGGCCGAUAUCAGAUUAGGUAGUUGGUGGGGUAAAGGCUCACCAAGCCAACGAUCUGUAGCUGGUCUGAGAGGACGACCAGCCACACUGGAACUGAGACACGGUCCAGACUCCUACGGGAGGCAGCAGUGGGGAAUUUUGGACAAUGGACGCAAGUCUGAUCCAGCCAUUCCGCGUGCAGGAUGAAGGCCCUCGGGUUGUAAACUGCUUUUGUACGGAACGAAAAGGUCUCUCUUAAUACGGGGGGCUCAUGACGGUACCGUAAGAAUAAGCACCGGCUAACUACGUGCCAGCAGCCGCAGUAA
rnacentral:rRNA from 1 species